rnacentral:rRNA from 1 species
GACAGAGGUGCCGAGCGUUAGGCGGAAUCACUGGGCUUAAAGGGUGCGUAGGCGGCGCGACAAGUUGGGUGUGAAAUCCCUCGGCUCAACCGAGGAACUGCGCCCAAAACUGUCGUGCUCGAGGGAGACAGAGGUGAGCGGAACUUAGGGUGGAGCGGUGAAAUGCGUUGAUAUCCUAAGGAACACCGGUGGCGAAAGCGGCUCACUGGGUCUCUUCUGACGCUGAGGCACGAAAGCUAGGGGAGCGAAUGGG